rnacentral:rRNA from 1 species
CUACGGGUGGCACCAGUGGGGAAUAUUGGACAAUGGGGGAAACCCUGAUCCAGCAAUGCCGCGUGUGUGAAGAAGGCCUGCGGGUUGUAAAGCACUUUCGGUUGGGAGGACUGCUUCUAGUACUAAUAUUGUUGGAAGUUGACGUUACCUUCAGAAGAAGCACCGGCUAACUCCGUGCCAGCAGCCGCGGUAAUACGGAGGGUGCAAGCGUUAAUCGGAAUUACUGGGCGUAAAGCGCGCGUAGGCGGCUAGAUCAGUCGGGUGUGAAAGCCCGGGGCUUAACCUGGGAACUGCAUCCGAUACUGUCUAGCUUGAGUACAGGAGAGGAGAGUGGAAUUCCACAUGUAGCGGUGAAAUGCGUAGAUAUGUGGAGGAACACCAAUGGCGAAGGCAGCUCUCUGGCCUGAUACUGACGCUGAGGUGUGAAAGCGUGGGGAGCAAACAGGAUUAGAUACCCCCGUAGUC